GCCCCAGUAGCUUAAUCCCCAAAGCAUUGACCUUGUAAGUCAAAAAUGGGUGGUACCACCCCUAGAG
rnacentral:tRNA from 1 species